GAGUCUUCCUGACAUGCUAACGUCAGGGGGGUAGUUUCCAAACUCCUGACUAAACUAAAUUUGCUGGUCGGAUUUUUAUAGAGCUAGUCUCUGUGUGCCUUCGGUUCAAGCUCUCCGGCAGCUGGUCCCCUGCGAGCCCGGCUGGCACGGUUUAACCCAGUCCUACGCCCGUCUCCGAAGGACGCGCUCACGGCGAUGCGCUUGACUCGGCAGCGUCGCUACGCUCCAUCUGCGCGCUUAGAAACAUCUCCUGUCUAAUCCUGCUGAUUAGCUAUCUCCAGAGCACAGCUGGCCUGGCCGUCCAGCCACAGUCACGAACGCUACCUGACUUCCGAGCGGUCUCUGGGCGGUUGGCCCACUGUCUCUGGACUGCCUUUGAGGUGCUGUCUCGGCCUCCCCUUUGCAGGCUUGUCCCGCGAUGGCAACGAGGCACCUGAGUCGUGGGCGGCUGCCGAGCGCGGGGCUGCAGACUGAGGUUGCCCCCACCGGAGACGGAACCUCCACGGGUUUCUCUUCCACGUGCAUGUUCCAGGCUGUGCAUUGUGUGAAGAACACCUCCAGCUCCUUUGCUUUGAACCUGCAUCUCACAAGCUUUAGUCGAUGGGCCCUAGUCCGCUGCUGGAAGAGGCCAUGAGCAGCUGGUCACUAUUUAUCCUCUCCAAGGCACAUAGGAGUUCUAAAAUCAUGAUUUUAUAGACAGCUGCUGUUAUUUGCUAUAGGAAAUACAGUAUCUUGCUCUGAAAAUGAGUAACUUAUGGUUACCAGGAUCAAUUAGUGUAAAAAUAUAAAACGAAGCAUAAAAAUAAUAAUUAAAGUAAAAGAAUAUCACUUUACGUUAAGGAUGUGUUGACUCUUCUUGGGUGUGCUGGAUGAGACAAUUAUUUUGAACCUUUUAGAAACUAGAAGGCAAUAUUUAGAAUACAGCUGAAAUCCGUUACACUUGCAAAGGGAUCCGGAUGGAUCCUGGGGGAGUGCUUAACCGAAGUAGUAGUUUUGGGGGAAAAUGACUAGGAUUCUGCUUGUCAGCUAAAUCCGCUAGCUAUUUUAAAGUAAAAAGCUCCUGCCUUUGCUGAUGUUUGGCUUGUCACGCUUGCCUGACUGAUGGAGAAUGGUUUAACUUCUUUGUUGCCGACUGUUCUGUCACUGGCGCUUUCCGUUGUUGUGUUUCGUUCCCCGCUCGUGUACCGCUGGUUGUGACUCGCGCGCUGUUUGCCGGGGUCCUGGAGAAGGGGAGCGCGGCCAGGGCCUUGCCGUCCCGUCCGGUCCCGUCCCGUCCGGCUCCUCUGAGACGUGCGCCCUGAGCCAAGUGAAGUCUCACGCGCGAUCUUUCGCAGUAAGCGUUUGUAUGUGUACGUUUAACAGGCUUUUAUGCUGUGUCAAUGGGUUUGUGCUUGUUAUGUUAAUGAACGCUUGUUUUCUAGUCAAUUACUUUAUAUUUUAGGAUGACACAUCCUUCCUGCGCCAAUUAAACCUGAGGCAAAGUGUUGGUGCCAAGGAACCCAACACAAUUCCCAUCCUAAUGGGGAUGAUUUGCAUCCCUGCUCGCAGCCCUCAGCUCGGGCCAUGCCCUUUCGGCUGGAAACCUUGGCACCUAGCAGGGUUGGGCAGGCAGGUGCUACUAUAGUUACCUAGUAAACACAAAUGGGACUUAGCUCUAAUAAAUCAGAAAUACUGUGAAAUCA
rnacentral:lncRNA from 1 species